AGGCAUAAAUAAAGUAUUGAUAUUUCAGCCAUGCAGGUGGAGACAGGGCUUAGUCUCGAAAGGCAGAGUGGUAGCCUUAUGCAAUGCAAGAAAUGCAGGUGAAGACAGAGCUUAGUCCCGGAAGGCAAAAUGGUAGCCUUAUGCAAUGCAAGAAAUGCAGAUGGAGACAGAGCUUAGUCUCGGAAGGUAGAAUGGUAGCCUUAUUCAAUGCAAGCUCUAUCUCCGAAGGCAGAAUGGUAGCCUUAUGCAAUGCAAGAAAUGUAGAUGGAGACAGAGCUUAGUCUUGGAAGGCAGAAUGGUAGCCUUAUGCAAUGCAGCGAAAUGCAGAUGGAGGUAGAGCUUAACCUCGGAAGGCAGAAUGGUAGCCUUAUGCAAUGCAGAGAAUGCAGAUGGAGGUAGAGCUUAACCUCGGAAGGCAGAAUGGUAGCCUUAUGCAAUGCAGAGAAUGUAAAUGGAGGUA
rnacentral:lncRNA from 1 species